rfam:Aedes albopictus isolate Foshan contig60908, whole genome shotgun sequence.
UAGCUUAGUCCGUAAAGCACUUGUGUAGCAUAUAAGGGUCGUGAGUUAAAAUCUCAC